rnacentral:rRNA from 1 species
AAAUCCGUCGUGCUUGUAUAGUUUGAUCCUGGCUCAGGACGAACGCUGGCGGCGUGCUUAACACAUGCAAGUCGAACGGAAAGGCCCCUUCGGGGGUACUCGAGUGGCGAACGGGUGAGUAACACGUGGGCAACCUGCCCCUAGCUUCGGAAUAACACCUGGAAACAGAUGCUAAUACCGGAUAAUAACCGACGAGGGCAUCCUGGUUGGUUCAAAGUUUUUCGGCUAGGGAUGGGCCCGCGGCCUAUCAGCUUGUUGGUGGGGUAAUGGCCUACCAAGGCGACGACGGGUAGCCGGCCUGAGAGGGCGACCGGCCACACUGGGACUGAGAUACGGCCCAGACUCCUACGGGAGGCAGCAGUGGGGAAUAUUGCGCAAUGGGCGAAAGCCUGACGCAGCGACGCCGCGUGAGGGACGACGGUCUUCGGAUUGUAAACCUCUUUCAGCUCUGACGAAGCGAGAGUGACGGUAGGAGCAGAAGAAGCACCGGCCAACUACGUGCCAGCAGCCGCGGUAAUACGUAGGGUGCAAGCGUUGUCCGGAAUUAUUGGGCGUAAAGAGCUCGUAGGCGGUUUGUCACGUCGAAUGUGAAAACCCGGGACUCAACUCCGGGCCUGCAUUCGAUACGGGCAGACUAGAGUUCGGUAGGGGAGACUGGAAUUCCUGGUGUAGCGGUGAAAUGCGCAGAUAUCAGGAGGAACACCGAUGGCGAAGGCAGGUCUCUGGGCCGAUACUGACGCUGAGGAGCGAAAGCGUGGGGAGCGAACAGGAUUAGAUACCCUGGUAGUCCACGCCGUAAACGUUGGGCGCUAGGUGUGGGGGGUCCUUCCACGACCUCCGUGCCGCAGCUAACGCAUUAAGCGCCCCGCCUGGGGAGUACGGCCGCAAGGCUAAAACUCAAAGGAAUUGACGGGGGCCCGCACAAGCGGCGGAGCAUGCGGAUUAAUUCGAUGCAACGCGAAGAACCUUACCAAGGCUUGACAUAUACAGGAAAGUUCCAGAAAUGGUUCCCCCGCAA